CUUUUUAUUUGUAACCUUCUAUAGGUUUUUGAGAAGAGCAUGUAGAGUCAAAAGGGAUACAGUUGAAUGCUUUUUCUGAUCAAGUUUUUUGUUCCUCUCAUAAUCUUAAUAAGAGAAUUCAUAUUGCAUGCAUUAUUUUUGUCAGACAGCAACUUUACUUUUAGUUUGUAUGGAUUUUCCACAUCUCACAAUAUGGUCUGUCUGUAGACC
rnacentral:lncRNA from 1 species